rnacentral:rRNA from 1 species
UUAAAUUAUUAAGAGCGCAUGGCGAAUGCCUUGGCACUAGAAGCUGAUGAAGGACGUGACGAACAACGAUAUGCUUCGGGGAGCUGUAAGUAGCUUUGAUCCGGAGAUUUCCGAAUGGGGAAACCCACUGAUAGUAAUGUGUCAGUAUCAUGCAGUGAAUUCAUAGCUGUAUGAGAUGAACCCGGUGAACUGAAACAUCUUAGUAGCCGGAGGAGUAGAAAGAAAAAUCGAUUCCCUUAGUAGUGGCGAGCGAAAGGGGAACAGCCCAAACCAAUCUUCGGAUUGGGGUUGUAGGACUUCUCAUUAAGAGUAAAAAAUUCAUAAUAUAGUUGAAGUAUCUGGAAAGAUAUACCGUAGUAGGUGAUAGUCCUGUAAAUGAAAUAUUAUGAACUCUGAGGAGUAUCCUGAGUAGGGCGGGGCACGUGAAACCCUGUCUGAAUCUGCGGGGACCAUCCCGUAAGGCUAAAUACUCUCUAGUGACCGAUAGUGAACAAGUACCGUGAGGGAAAGGUGAAAAGAACCCCGGGAGGGGAGUGAAAUAGAAUACUGAAACCAUGUGCUUACAAGAAGUCAAAGCCCGUUAAUGGGUGAUGGCGUGCCUUUUGCAGAAUGAACCGGCGAGUUAUUGUUGCAUGCAAGGUUAAGUUGAAGAGACGGAGCCGAAGCGAAAGCGAGUCUGAAUAGGGCGCUUUAGUAUGCAGUAAUAGACCCGAAACCGAGUGAUCUAUCCUUGAGCAGGUUGAAGUGGUGGUAACACACCAUGGAGGACCGAACCGACGUCUGUGAAAAAGGCGCGGAUGACUUGAGGAUAGCGGAGAAAUUCCAAUCGAACUCGGAGAUAGCUGGUUCUCCCCGAAAUAGGUUUAGGCCUAGCCUUCUAAUUAGUUACCUGGAGGUAGAGCACUGAAUGUAAGAUGGCGGCGUAUAGCUGUACUGAUUGCAAUCAAACUCCGAAUGCCAGGCUAAUAUGUAGAGGAGUCAGUGUAUGGGUGAUAACGUCCAUACGCGAGAGGAAAACAAUCCAGACCGCCAGUUAAGGUCCCAAAAUUUAUGCUAAGUGGGAAAGGAUGUGGAGUCGCUAGAACAGCUAGGAGGUUGGCUUAGAAGCAGCCAUCCUUUAAAGAGUGCGUAAUAGCUCACUAGUCGAGUGGCACUGCGCCGAAGAUGUACCGGGGCUAAAGCAUAAUACCGAAACUGCGGAUUACUUUGUAAUGGUAGGGGAGCGUUCUAAGUGCGCUGAAGGUUGAUCGUAAGGACAGCUGGAGCGCUUAGAAGUGAGAAUGCCGGUAUGAGUAGCGCAAGACGUGUGAGAAUCACGUCCACCGUUUGCCCAAGGUUUCCUGGGUCAAGUUCGUCUUCCCAGGGUUAGUCGGGUCCUAAGGCGAGGCCGAAAGGCGUAGUCGAUGGACAACAGGUUGAUAUUCCUGUACCACCUAUAUGACUGAUGGAGUGACGAAGGAGGCUAACAAGUGCCUGUUAUUGGAUUCAGGUCUAAGCACAAAGGCUUAUAUGUAGGGAAAUCCGCAUAUUGGUAGGCUGAAGUGUGAUGGCGAAGAAAGUAGCAAUACAAUCGAAGACUUGUGACGCCAAACUUCCAAGAAAAGCUUCUAGGGUUAAUCGUAUAGGUGCCCGUACCGAGAACCGACACAGGUGGGCAAGGAGAGUAUCCUAAGGUGAGCGAGAGAACUAUGGUUAAGGAACUCGGCAAAAUGACCCCGUAACUUAGGGAUAAGGGGUGGUCUGGCGACAGACCCGCAGUAAAGAGGCCCAGGCGACUGUUUACCAAAAACACAGCUCUCUGCUAAGUCGUAAGACGAUGUAUAGGGGGUGACACCUGCCCAGUGCUGGAAGGUUAAGAGGAUGGCUUAGAAAUGACGCAAGUCGAUAUGUUUCGAAGGUCAGAAUUGAAGCCCCAGUGAACGGCGGCCGUAACUAUAACGGUCCUAAGGUAGCGAAAUUCCUUGUCAGGUAAGUUCUG